GAUGAACGCUGGCGGCGUGCCUAAUACAUGCAAGUCGAACGCUGAAGGAGGAGCUUGCUCUUCUGGAUGAGUUGCGAACGGGUGAGUAACGCGUAGGUAACCUGCCUGGUAGCGGGGGAUAACUAUUGGAAACGAUAGCUAAUACCGCAUGACAACAGUUAUUGCAUGAUAACUGUUUAAAAGGGGCAACUGCUCCACUACCAGAUGGACCUGCGUUGUAUUAGCUAGUUGGUGAGGUAACGGCUCACCAAGGCGACGAUACAUAGCCGACCUGAGAGGGGGAUCGGCCACACUGGGACUGAGACACGGCCCAGACUCCUACGGGAGGCAGCAGUAGGGAAUCUUCGGCAAUGGACGGAAGUCUGACCGAGCAACGCCGCGUGAGUGAAGAAGGUUGUCGGAUCGUAAAGCUCUGUUGUAAGAGAAGAACGAGUGUGAGAGUGGAAAGUUCACACUGUGACGGUAUCUUACCAGAAAGGGACGGCUAACUACGUG
rnacentral:rRNA from 1 species